UACGAAGGGUGCAAGCGUUACUCGGAAUUACUGGGCGUAAAGCGUGCGUAGGUGGUUGUUUAAGUCUGUUGUGAAAGCCCUGGGCUCAACCUGGGAAUUGCAGUGGAUACUGGGCGACUAGAGUGUGGUAGAGGGUAGUGGAAUUCCCGGUGUAGCAGUGAAAUGCGUAGAGAUCGGGAGGAACAUCCAUGGCGAAGGCAGCUACCUGGACCAACACUGACACUGAGGCA
rnacentral:rRNA from 1 species